rnacentral:misc_RNA from 1 species
AAAAUGCGAUAAGUAAUGUGAAUUGCAGAAUUCAGUGAAUCAUCGAAUCUUUGCACGCACAUUACGCCCCUUGGUAUUCCGAGGGGCAUGCCUGUUCGAGCGUCAUUUCACCACUCAAGCCUCGCUUGGUAUUGGGCGCCGCGGUGUUCCGCGCGCCUCAAAGUCUCCGGCUGAGCUGUCCGUCUCUAAGCGUUGUGAUUUCAUUAAUCGCUUCGGAGCGCGGGCGGUCGCCGCCGUUAAAUCUUUCACAAGGUUGACCUCGGAUCAGGUAGGGAUACCCGCUGAACUUAA